rnacentral:misc_RNA from 1 species
AGCGGAACUUCUUCAAUAGGUUUUUAUGCUCUUAAUAUGAUGCUGUAAUUCAGAGAGCUGAUUUUCCAUAGUUGAUAUAUCAUUAUUGACCUAAAUUGUGGAUUAGGGAGUAGCAGUUUCUCAUUUGAUUGAAAUGUUUCUCCUCCAAGAAUGAUGAAUUAAUAGAAGAGCUUAACGGCUUACUCUUUAUUAUUGAAAGAUGCUGAUUAUAAGGAGAGAAAUGAGGUUCUCAAUAUUUUUGGCCAUGCUGUUUUUCUUUAUUCUAAU